rnacentral:rRNA from 1 species
AUUGAACGCUGGCGGCAGGCCUAACACAUGCAAGUCGAGCGGAGCGGCGGACGGGUGAGUAAUGCCUCGGAAUCUGCCUGGUAGUGGGGGAUAACGUCCGGUAAUGGGCGCUAAUACCGCAUCCUCUCACCUUAGCCUAGGGCGGAUUAGCUUGUUGGGGGGGUAAAGGCCUACCAAGGCGACGAUCCGUAACUGGUCUUAGAGGAUGAUCAGUCACACUGGAACUGAGACACGGUCCAGACUCCUACGGGAGGCAGCAGUGGGGAAUAUUGGACAAUGGGCGAAAGCCUGAUCCAGCCAUGCCGCGUGUGUGAAGAAGGUCUUCGGAUUGUAAAGCACUUUAAGUUGGGAGGCGUUACCAACAGAAUAAGCACCGGCUAACUUCGUGCCAGCAGCCGCGGUAAUAC